ensembl:lincRNA
UUUAAACACAGAUUAUCCAAAUUUUGAUUUACGAGCAUGCUCAUUUAGCUGAAGAUCAAUUUUGUUUCUGGGAGAAACAAAAGCCUGAGUUUUCCCUCAUCUCUUGCAACUGGGAUGACAAAUCACUUGCCCAAAUGGCUGAAGGAUGAGAGGGUGGAAGAAAGAGAGGGAGAAGAAGAAGAGGAGAAGAAAGCAGGAAAAGGGAGUGGAAGAAAGGGAGACUGAUUUCUAUAUUCUAAAACUUCCUGGAAGCUAAAAUGUCUAUCACACCGAAAACCUUGCUGAAACAUAAAUGCGUGAAGCCAUUGCUGGUUCUCUCCUUCACCAAGAGUAAACUUCAUGCUAUCUUUACACAAGUCACCACUGUAAUCUUUAUUGGAAGACUUCACGACAGAACUGAAGUUGCCGCUGCUUCUUUGAGGUGAAAUUGAAGGAUCCGUGUUUACUUAAUGAUGGCCUGGAAGAGUGGAGAGGAAAACCAAAACGAAAAGAACAAUUUCUAAAACAUGGCUCAUCACUAUUUAGGAUGAGGACCAACAGGAAGUAACAUGUUUUGGGAAAUGUGUAAUGAAAAAUUUACUUGCAGAGGAAACAAUGCUGGAAGUGGCUGGGAGCCAAGAACAUCUGUGUUCCUGGUGUCCCAAAUGUGUGAAGGGAGCAGAUGUAACUGAAUUUCUAACAGAAAACCUGGCGUAAUUCCUAACAAUGUGGAGGAGGGCUCCGGUUGUGCACAGAAGGUCUUCUGAAGCCCAGGAAUAUGAAAACAAAUUCUGUGAACUCUUGAAUAAUAUUAUAAACUAUCUUGAAGAGAAAUAUUCAAGUGUUCAACAGAACGAAUACAGCUUAUUCAUGUAACAGAAAGGGAAGUUACCUAUUUCACACAACUGAGAAGAAAACUCAAAAAAUAUAUUGUAUAUAAAUACAACAAUACAAUUACAUCUAAGCAUAAAUAUGGCUGUAAAGAAAAAAAAUCCUUUUUGCUUUUAAUAAUGCCUUCUGAGAUUCCUGUAAAAUUGUAAGCUCUUUCAAGGUCAGCACAUAAUCAUAGUUUUACUAAGUAGUCCUUCAUACUUUUCAUGGGCUCACCAAUAGCUCAAAGAAUGCCUGGGCAGAAGUACCUUAUAAAGUACAAGAAAAUGCAGAAUCCGAUUUAGGAAGAGCUAUAUGAUAACAGUUGAUAUUUCUCUUAUUCAAUUAUGCUAGAAAAAUUAUUUUACAAUUUCCUUCAAAAAGUAUCUGAGUAGACCACAAUAUCAGGCACCACUUUAAUAUUGCACAUAUAAUUGAGAUGGACACACAUAGUCACAUAGCAUGCAUGUACAUGCACAUGUACCUAGCCAGACCUUUCCUUGGCUGCCUUCCAACUAGGACUGUUUAUGUGAUACAGUUCCUAUGAAGGAGAUAUAAAUAAUGUUCUUUGGGGUUAGUGUUUGAUUUGAUAGUAAAAUGUAUUUUCUAGGUACUCAUGUCUUCGGCCCUUCUUUCUUUUUCCUACCUGCACUGUGAAAAUGAUACAUGUAGCAGUCACAUUGUGAUUAUGAGGUGACAAUUUUGUGGGUGAAAGCAGACAAUUUAAACAUGUCAGAGCAGAAGACCUAUUGAUCCCCCAGUGACCACUGGGCUAGCAGCACUGGGCUAUGCUCUUGGACUUCUAUUUAUGUGAGAAAACAAAAAGCUCAAUUUGUUUAAUCUAUUCUUAGUCAUUAUUCAGUACCUACUUUGUGCCAAGCAUUAUUUUCUGUUGGGGAUGCAGC